UACGUAGGGUGCGAGCGUUUGUCCGGAAUUAUUGGGGCGUAAAGGGCGCGCAGGCGGCUGCUCAAGUCAGGCGUGAAAAGGCCUGGGCUCAACCCGGGAAUUGCGCUUGAGACUGGGCUGGCUUGAGUGCGGGAGAGGAUGGUGGAAUUCCCAGUGUAGAGGUGAAAUUCGUAGAUAUUGGGAAGAACACCGGUGGCGAAGGCGGCCAUCUGGACCGCAACUGACGCUGAGGCGCGAAAGCGUGGGGGAGCAAACAGG
rnacentral:rRNA from 1 species